UGCCAGACUCCUACGGGAGGCAGCAGUGGGGAAUAUUGCACAAUGGGGGAAACCCUGAUGCAGCAACGCCGCGUGAGUGAGGAAGUAUUUCGGUAUGUAAAGCUCUAUCAGCAGGGAAUAGAAAAGAAGGUACCUGAAAAAGAAGCCCCGGCUAACUACGUGCCAGCAGCCGCGGUAAUACGUAGGGGGCAAGCGUUAUCCGGAUUUACUGGGUGUAAAGGGAGCGUAGACGGCCAGACAAGUCUGAAGUGAAAAUCCAGCGCUUAACGCUGGAAGUGCUUUGGAAACUGCCGGGCUGGAGUGCAGGAGGGGCAGGCGGAAUUCCUAGUGUGGCGGUGAAAUGCGUAGAUAUUAGGAGGAACACCAGUGGCGAAGGCGGUCUGCUGGACAGCAACUGACGCUGAGGCGCGAAAGCGUGGGGAGCAAACAGGAUUAGAUACCCUCGUACA
rnacentral:rRNA from 1 species